AUUGAACGCUGGCGGCAGGCCUAACACAUGCAAGUCGAGCGGAGCGGCGGACGGGCGAGUAAUGCCUAGGAAUCUGCCUGGUAGUGGGGGAGAAAGUCCGGAAACGGGCGCUAAUACCUCCUACAAUCCGUUGAGCCUAGGUAGGAUUAGCUAGUUGGUGGGGUAGAGGCUUACCAAGGCGACGAUCCGUCACUGGUCUGAGUGGAGGAUCAGUCACACUGGAACUGAGACACGGUCCAGACUCCGACGGGAGGCAGCAGUGGGGAAUAUUGGACAAUGGGCGAAAGCCUGAUGCAGCCAUGCCGCGUGUGUGAAGAAGGUCUUCGGAUUGUAAAGCACUUUAAGUUGGGAGGCGUUACCAGCAGAAGAAGCACCGGCUAACUUCGUGCCAGCAGCCGCGGUAAUUC
rnacentral:rRNA from 1 species